rnacentral:rRNA from 1 species
AGUGAACGCUGGCGGUAGGCCUAACACAUGCAAGUCGAACGGCAGCACAGUAAGAGCUUGCUCUUACGGGAGGCGAGUGGCGGAAGGGGGAGGAAUACAGCGGAAUAUACUUAUUCGUGGGUGAUAAUGCAGGGAAACUUACGCGAAUACAGAAUAAGUGCUACGAGAGAAAGCAGGGGCACUUUGGCCAUUACGCGGUGUAAGGAGCCGAUGUGGGAUUAGCUAGUUGGCGGGGUGAAGGCACACCAAGGCAACGAUCCGUAGCUGGUCUGAGAGGAUGAUCACCCACACUGGAACUGAGAGACGGUCCAGACUACUACGGGAGGGACCAGUGGGGAAUAUUGGACAAUGGGCGCAAGCCUGAUCCAGCCAUACCGCGUGGGUGAAGAAGGCCUUCGGGUUGUAAAGCCCUUUUGUUGUGAAAGAAAAUCAGCAGGUUAAUACCCCGCUGUUCUGACGGUACCCAAAGAAUAAGCACCGGCUAACUUCGUG